rnacentral:rRNA from 1 species
GAUGAACGCUGGCGGCGUGCCUAAUACAUGCAAGUCGAGCGAACAGACGAGGAGCUUGCUCCUCUGACGUUAGCGGCGGACGGGUGAGUAACACGUGGAUAACCUACCUAUAAGACUGGGAUAACUUCGGGAAACCGGAGCUAAUACCGGAUAAUAUAUUGAACCGCAUGGUUCAAUAGUGAAAGACGGUUUUGCUGUCACUUAUAGAUGGAUCCGCGCCGCAUUAACUAGUUGGUAAGGUAACGGCUUACCAAGGCAACGAUGCGUAGCCGACCUGAGAGGGUGAUCGGCCACACUGGAACUGAGACACGGUCCAGACUCCUACGGGAGGCAGCAGUAGGGAAUCUUCCGCAAUGGGCGAAAGCCUGACGGAGCAACGCCGCGUGAGUGAUGAAGGUCUUCGGAUCGUAAAACUCUGUUAUUAGGGAAGAACAAAUGUGUAAGUAACUAUGCACGUCUUGACGGUACCUAAUCAGAAAGCUACGGCUAACUACGUG